rnacentral:rRNA from 1 species
AUUCCUACGGGAGGCAGCAGUGGGGAGUUUUGGACAAUGGGCGCAAGCCUGAUCCAGCCAUGCCGCGUGCGGGAAGAAGGCCUUCGGGUUGUAAACCGCUUUUGGCAGGAACGAAACGGCGACUCUUAAUACGGGUCGUUAAUGACGGUACCUGCAGAAUAAGCACCGGCUAACUACGUGCCAGCAGCCGCGGUAAUACGUAGGGUGCAAGCGUUAAUCGGAAUUACUGGGCGUAAAGCGUACGCAGGCGGCUUUGCAAGACAGGUGUGAAAUCCCCGGGCCUAACCUGGGAACUGCAUUUGUGACUGCAUGGCUAGAGUCUGUCAGAGGGGGGUGGAAUUCCACGUGUAGCAGUGAAAUGCGUAGAGAUGUGGAAGAACACCGAUGGCGAAGGCAGCCCCCUGGGAUGAGACUGACGCUCAUGUACGAAAGCGUGGGGAGCAAACAGGAUUAGAUACCCUGGUAGUCCACGCCCUAAACGAUGUCUACUAGUUGUCGGAGGGUAACUCCUUCGGUAACGCAGCUAACGCGUGAAGUAGACCGCCUGGGGAGUACGGUCGCAAGAUUAAAACUCAAAGGAAUUGACGGAAU